UUGUACUCAUAUACGCUCUGUUUUUUGUCUGUGCAAUUAAGCUUAAAUUAGUCUUCAAAUGAAGUAUAACAUGCAGUUAAAACAUUCUACAUCCUAUGGAUACUUAAUACAUUAGAAAAAUGAUUUUUUAAAUGUAAAAUUUACAUUUAAGAAGACUUAUGCAACAUCGAAUUUUUAGCUUCCUACUUUUUGUCUUUCAUUUUUCACAUGCAAAAGCUUUAAAUCACUUUUUCUAACGGAAAAACUUAAUUUUGAUUACUGCUGUCGAAAAGUCAUUAUCAUUAAAUUGCCUUUAAGUAAUGUAUUCCUUUAUAGUACAUAAUAAUAAGCCAACAAGUAUACAAAUCGUCAAGGUUAAAUGUACUACUUCUAAAUACAAACUGACUGGUACCAAAACAUUACUGACCAAAACUGGAAUCAUCUAGUGUUAUCACAAACUCAAUUAAGAUUGUGUUUAGUUAUUGUUUUUUGUAAUUUAAAUAACAUAUAACUAAUAGAAUUAUUAAUUUCCUGUAUUUAUAACAUGUUUUUGCGAUAAAUGUAUAUAGAAAGUGCUUCUUGACAGUCGUAAUUACGGAUUAAUAAAAUGUUAUCUAAACUACAGUAAAAGACUUCACAUCGUUACAUACUGUUAUCGUUGGCUUUGGCCUCUGAUUGGAUAAUUAAUAUGACGUGAUCCACUGGCCAACAGUAUAUAUACCAUUGCUCUGUCCGUUACAGUAUUAGAUAUUUCCCCAGCGAAACAUCCGACUCUUAUUAACAUGGGCAAGGAAAGGACCAGCGUCAACAUGGCCGUCGUCGGCUACUACUAGACCUACCAUCAGAUGGACGGCUAGUACAAACACGUACAUGACCCGGCUUCUGUACACGGACACGCUCUGGACACGGACAACACGAUUCUAGAUACCUCAACCUGAUUGGCUAUUUUUACGUAGGCCUACUACAAUUAAAUAAAACAAAAUUUUUCCGCUUUUAUA